rnacentral:rRNA from 1 species
UACGAGAGCCCCGAGCGUUAUCCGGAAUUAUUGGGCGUAAAGGGUGUGUAGGUGGUUGUAUUAGUCUUGUGUGAAAGCCUGUCGCCUAACGACAGAUCCGCACGGGAAACGGUACGACUUAGAGGGUGCAAGAGGUGUACGGAACUCAUGGUGUAGGGGUGAAAUCCGUUGAUAUCAUGGGGAACGCCAAAAGCGAAGGCAGUACACUGGUGCAUACCUGACACUGAAACACGAAAGCGUGGGUAGCGAAUGGG